AGCGAACGCUGGCGGCAGGCUUAACACAUGCAAGUCGAACGGGUACCUUCGGGUGCUAGUGGCAGACGGGUGAGUAACACGUGGGAACGUACCUUUCGGUUCGGAAUAAUACAGGGAAACUUGUACUAAUACCGGAUAAGCCCUUCGGGGGAAAGAUUUAUCGCCGAUAGAUCGGCCCGCGUCUGAUUAGCUAGUUGGUG
rnacentral:rRNA from 1 species